rnacentral:misc_RNA from 1 species
GAGUAAGAAUUUGAUGGGUCAAGGUCUUACUAUUGGGAUUGAUGAUAAUACAAAUCAGUGUCUCUGUAAGGUUGAUAUUAAGCCCUGGCUGUUUUCGAAGAAGAAAGGGUCAAAGACUUUAGAAGCAUAUUCUAGGAAAAUUGAUAUAUGUUGGGACCUUUCGUCAGCAAAGUUUGGAUCUGGUCCUGAGCCAUUGGAAGGAUUCUAUGUGUGUGUUGUUUCCGAAAGGCAAAUGAUUUUGCUCCUUGGUGAUAUGAAAAAAGAAGCUAUUAAGAAAACAAGUGCCACACCUGCUGCUUCUGGUGCUGUUUUUAUUGCUAAGAAGGAGCAUAUGUUUGGUAAGAAGGUAUUUAGC